UCUAAUAUGGCAGAAUAGUGCAUUGGAUUUAAAUCCCAAAUAUAAAGUCAUCUUUUUUAGAA
rnacentral:tRNA from 1 species